rnacentral:rRNA from 1 species
AUUGAACGCUGGCGGCAGGCCUAACACAUGCAAGUCGAACGGAGCGGCGAACGGGUGAGGAAUGCCUAGGAAUCUGAAUGGUAGUGGGGGAUAACGUCCAGAAACGGGAGCUAAUAGCGCAUACUAUCAGAUGCGCCUAAGGCGGAUUAGCUAGUGGGUGGGGGAAAGGCAUAACAAGGCGACGAUCCGCAACUGGUCUGGGAGGAGGAUCGAUCACACUGGAACUGAGACAAGGUUCAGACUCCGACGGGAGGCAGCAGUUGGGAAUUUUGGACAAUGGGCGAAAGCCUGAUCCAGCCAUGCCGCGUGUGUGAAGAAGGUCUUCGGAUUGUAAAGUACUUUCAGCGGGGAGGCGUUACCCGCAGAAGAAGCACCGGCUAACUCCGUGCCAGCAGCCGCGGUAAUAC